AACGAACGCUGGCGGCAUGCCUAACACAUGCAAGUCGAACGAGACCUUCGGGUCUAGUGGCGCACGGGUGCGUAACGCGUGGGAACCUGCCCUUAGGUUCGGAAUAACUCCCCGAAAGGGGUGCUAAUACCGGAUAAUGUCUUCGGACCAAAGAUUUAUCGCGUUUGGAUGGGCCCGCGUUGGAUUAGCUAGUUGGUAGGGUAAAAGCCUACCAAGGCGACGAUCCAUAGCUGGUCUGAGAGGAUGAUCAGCCACACUGGGACUGAGACACGGCCCAGACUCCUACGGGAGGCAGCAGUGGGGAAUAUUGGAAAAUGGGCGAAAGCAUGAUCCAGCAAUGCCGCGUGAGUGAUGAAGGCCUUAGGGUUGUAAAGCUCUUUUACCCGGGAUGAUAAUGACAGUACCGGGAGAAUAAGCGCCGGCUAACUCCGUG
rnacentral:rRNA from 1 species